rnacentral:ncRNA from 3 species
UAAUUAACUGAAGCGGCUGGGUCUAUAUAGACUACGAGGCGAAGGAUAUCGAAUAAUCAGCGGAUACCUUCAGGUUGUUGUAACAACCUAAAUGAGUUCUACAAAUAUACAAAAAGAAUCUCAAUUUACAUU